rnacentral:rRNA from 1 species
UACGUAGGGGGCAAGCGUUGUCCGGAUUUAUUGGGCGUAAAGAGCGUGUAGGCGGCCAGAUAGGUCAGCUGUGAAAACUCGAGGCUCAACCUCGAGAUGUCGGCUGAAACCAUCUGGCUAGAGUCCGGAAGAGGAGAAUGGAAUUCCCGGUGUAGCGGUGAAAUGCGCAGAUAUCGGGAAGAACACCCGUGGCGAAGGCGGUUCUCUGGGACGGUACUGACGCUGGGACGCGAAAGCGUGGGGAGCGAACAGG